UACGUAGGCAGCAAGCGUUGUUCGGAGUUACUGGGCGUAAAGAGUGCGUAGGUGGUUCCCUAAGUCUGUUGUGAAAUCUCCCGGCUUAACUGGGAGGGUGCGGUGGAAACUGGGGUGCUUGAGUGUGGGAGAGGUAAGCGGAAUUCCUGGUGUAGCGGUGAAAUGCGUAGAUAUGACAUAGAACACCAAUUGCGAAGGCAGCUGACUACGCGAGUAUUGACACUGAGGCACGAAAGCGUGGGGAUCAAACAGG
rnacentral:rRNA from 1 species